CUUCCUCACCAUCUUCUUCCUCCUCCUCUUCCUCUUCUUCAACAGUAGCGCUUUCUUCUCCUUUAGGAAGGCCUUCGUCUUGAAUCUGGCAUCACAACAUAAGAAAAUGCUCCUAAGAGUUGCUUUAAGCAACACUGAUUUCACUGCACUGAGCAGGCAGUACAACGAGGUCAAUAACAAUGCUUCUAAAGCAGGAGUGUCAAACUCCUUUUCACCGAGGACCACAUCAGCCUUGUAUGUGCUUUCAAAGGGCUGUUUGUAACUAUAAGACUGUGUAAAUGUAACUAUGUUGCCCUGGCAUUGAAAGCCUCGCGAGCCAUAUCAAAUGACAUGGCGGGAUGGAUUCAGCCUGCGGGCCUUGUGCUCUAAAGUGGGCCCGGGCUGUGGAGCAGGCGGGAGAGCAAGCCAGCUGCAAUUAACUGCAAUGAAUCACUCUGACCAGGAGGUCAGGAGUUCGAGACCCGCUCGGAGCCUAUGUUUGUUUGUCUUUGUUCUAUGUUAAAAAGCAUUGAAUGUUUGCCUAUAUGUGUAAUGUGAUCCGCCCUGAGUCCCUUUCGGGGUGAGAAGGGCGGAAUAUAAAUGCUGUAAAUAAAUAAAUAGAAUGUUUGGAUAAUA